AUAGAACAACGUCUCGCGCUUCAUCCGCAAAAUGACAUAAAUUUUAGGAAGUGGUUUUAGCAAAGGAAGAGUGCUGUGACAGAAAAUUAUCUGGAAAUCACAGCCGAACCAGGGAACAGUGUUAAAGACGGAGACAUUUGUAUCGAUCACAGCAUGCAUCUGAAGAUAUGGCGCCCACUUUCUCUGAUGUGCUGUGUAUUUGUCCAGACAAACAUGCACACAGAGCACACCUUUCCUGUGUUUCCCUGAAUACUGGGCUGUUGGGGAAGACGACUCUCAGGAGGCAAAGUAAAGCCGAUGAGGAGGAAACUUGAUCGCUUUGUUUCUCCGUCCUCACCUCUAAUUCUUGUGCGAUGGACCGGCCUCUGCUGGGACGAGGUUCAGCCCGGCGCUGCUGCUCCUAUAGCACCCUGAAGGCCUGGCUGCCCAUCCUCUCCUGGUUACCCAGUUACAAGCUGAAGUGGCUUCAGAUGGACCUGCUCGCAGGCCUCACCGUUGGGCUGACAACUGUACCGCAGGCACUGGCUUAUGCUGAAGUAGCUGGCCUUCCU